UCUACCAAUGAGAGAGAGAGAGAGAGAGGCAGGAAGAAGAAAAACCUAAAAGCAAAGAUCAAAAACAAAAGACAGACAUAAAAGAAGUGUGCGAGACAAGAUUAUAAAAGAACCCAAACUUUUACCUCUGGACCAUCUAGUCUCCCUGUGGAGAUGUUCUGUGGAUUAUCUCACAGAGCUCGACAGUGAAACCUGACGUGUCGGACGCUGACACUGACUGGAUUUUAAAAAUCUAACUUUUAAGACUCUGAAUGUGACUGGCCGUCGCCAAAUCGUAACCUUUGACCUGCACUGAAAUCCCGGCUGCGAGAGACAACCUCACAUCAUUAAGGACGACUAUCAGUACAAGCAUGUAUUAGCUCAGUGCUGACCGUUGGCAGCCGUUUGCCACUCAUUUCCACUACAUCCAUUCAAGCCUGCCUUUUUAGGAAACCUUUGUUCCUCCUGUCCCGGAGCAGCAUGGAGGUGCUCAGCGGCCCCUGGGCUGAUCUGGCUCUGCUCCUUCGACAGACCAUCACACAGCCGGACAGAGAGACAGGCAGCCUUCUUCCUCUCUGGCUCUGCGGCCUGCUGCUGUUCCUGUCUGUCUGUGUGCUGCUGCUGCAGCUGAUUAUCUACCUCAGCUGGAAGCUCAGACAGGCAGAGGCGGAUCUGUCGAGGUUCCCACACGACAGAAGCGCCAUCUACAGGCAGGUACACAGCAGCACACACCUGAGGAGGAGGAGGAGUGUUGGGUAACACUCACACAGAUGACCGGUGCUGACAGACAACAUGAGUAAUCUCUACACCAGCAUGGACAAAUCUCAGGCAAACUGAAGCCUCCUGAAGAAUAUGAAUUAUUGACUGUAACAGAAAAUCUGUGAAAGUUACUUGACUAUUGUACAGCUUCAAAAGAAGCACGUGUUUCGUUGAACUAGACUAAGAAUGUCUUAUUUAUUUCUUACCUGUUGUAAAACAUUUCAUACUGGACUUCCUGAACACAAAAAUGACUUUUAAUCAUUAAAUGAACCAAAGCGUGAAUGAAGAAAUGGUCGUGACACCAGAUAUCAGAGUAUAACAAUCCUUUAUUUAAACAGUGUUACACAGGGGGCUGGGGGAGUGGCUGUGUGCAGGGAGACACAAGACAUUUAAGCUGCUAGAUAGAAAAACCCUACCGGUGAUCAUUGGUUGGCUAAAAGGGAGCGAUGGGGCAGCUGUGGCUGGUUUCCCAAAAUUGCCUCUCUUUUUUUUUUUCUACACCGAAAGUGAGUUUUAAGUAGUUAAAAUACAAAACUGUGCUGGUAUUAUCUCCAAAUAGGUCCAUACUGUGUAGAACAAAGCCUGAGAUAUAACUGUAAAGAACAUUUUGUCCAUGUGUUUGAUAAAUUAGAUCUUAUAAUCUUUCCAUGUUGAGAUCCCUGACAGUUUUAACAUAAGCUGGCGUUGAAUCAUCAUCAGUUGCUUUCAACAACUCAACUCUGUUCGUAUAUAUAUAUAUAUAUAUAUAUAUAUUUUUUUUUAUGUGUGUGUGUAUUUUUUAAAUCUUAAUAAAAGUUACUGAUGGCGAGUGAUUUUGGAGAAGCCCAGACCUGGCAGCAGCUCCCAAAGCUCCCGUGAUUGGUUAAAACAGAGCCCAGACCCCGUUGGAAAGAACAGGUGGGGGGUUUUAAAGUACAAAAAAAAAAAAAAAGGGAAUGGUGGCAGAAAGUUUUGUAGUGGUGUUCCUUCAAUGUCAAAAAAAACCAACCAAAACACUGCGACAAUAUUAAAAACAUCCAACAGGGUGCACGAUAAAUCCCACCUUUUUCCACAAGUACGUCACACAGAAAAGACGACAAAUGAUGAGAAAAAUCUACAAACACAGCUGCUGUGAUAUAACCGAUGCGUUUUUUUUAUUUUAGAAGAUUUGUUUGUUUUUUUUUGGAACAGCGAAAGCUUCCAAAGCUGCCUAGUGUUGCACGGUUUGUUUGUUUAAAUGCUUUUCUGCUGCUUUGUCUCUUUGUAAGAGGGUUAGAGGUUAAAGCUUCCCCCUCAUCUGGAAUGUUGUUUAAAUGCAUAGUAGAAGUCGGACCAGUGUUUCUCAAUAGAAAAGCCAAGAGGGUCAUUACCGCUCCAUCUAGAAAGAAAGCCUUCAAACUGGGAGGUUAAAUUAAAAAGGGAUAUAAUAAUUCAUAAUGUGGAGAAUGAGUCAAUAUUGAUGUAAAAAGAGAAAACACACAAAUCGUUCUGUUAGACUGGAGGGUUCAGACAAACCUAGGCAGGUACAGGUUUUUGAUUUUAUUCAUCUGUGGCACUUCUUUGCGUACAAUCAGUUAAAUUUCCAGGUAAGAAAUGUGUUUUUUUUUUUUCUGUGCCAACAAAAUGCAUUAGGGCCAACAUUUGGAUGAAAGAGGACACAGAGAGAUGAAUAAAACAUCAUGCCAUUUAGGGGUUUCAAGAGCACUUUGAACCCUCAGAUACACUUCCCUUUAAGCUGCAUUGUUCCUGUUGUAACUGUUUCCAUGUCUGUCUGUUUGUAGUGGACUGUCUUAUUCAGAGUGUUGUUUACAAUUUUAACAGAAACACAUAAACUCACUUUAAUGCCGAGGAAUAUUUGGUCGCGGUGAAACAGUUCCAACACGGCCAGCGUCGCGUCAAGAGAUGAUUCUUAUCUAGACUGCGUGGAGAUAAUCUGUUAUCUACACACUCUUCAAACCAAUCAACACAGUAGCCUUCUAUCUAGACUCGCUCAAGAUACUCUUUUGCAAGAUAAAAAAAAAAAAAAAAAAGUGUGAAGACAUGCUGGAUUUAAUCCCAGAUCUUGUUAUAUAUCUAGCAGGUUUCCUCAGUGUUAUCUAGUCUGGUAAUGGAAAGAAGCUGGGAGUGAAAUUAAGUGCUGAACUAUGACGACAAACAGGCUCUGAUGCAGAGUUAGCAAACUGGCAGAAACUUCAUUAUUCUGAAUUCUGGUUUCAAGUCCUCCAUUUUGGUACCUGUGCUGCUUGUGGUGCACAACUCUUUUUGAAUACCCUACGAAUAAUGAAAACAGUUUUAACCCACUGCAGGAUGCAAAAUAACGUGAGGCCAACAUGCACCGAUGCUCAAAUUUGUGUUCCAUCCCAACUCUCGUCUCCCAAUUUUCCCUCAGUUCACUGGUCCUCUCUCCCAAUCAGAAGUCUGCUCCCUUGCUCCCCUGCGGCCCAAUGGGAAUGGCUAGUGUCAUACAGUGGGCGGGCCCAGGGAGAGCGUUUAGCUACUGAAAAGCUGCUCCCAUCUAAUAACCUUCAAUUUUCUUAACUGUACAGAAAGUCGUAUACCGAAGCUUUAAAGUCAGUUCAUUUUCAGUUCAAAUUCAUGUCCAUGUAGUAAAAAAACCCCAAAAACUAAAAUACAGUAAAACUUACAAAUAUAUCACAAAGAGUUAAUUCCCACCUGUGUCAUUUGGCUUCUCGAGCUUAAUUAAUGUCAAACCCACUGGCCCAAUUAAGAAUACGUCCAUUUCCCGCCUACUGUAAAUCGUAAAACGUCUCCUCUUCUUAGAGUAAAAAGUGAAUUGAACUGAACAUGAACUCACUCAGUUGCUAGUUAAACACACAUGGAAUGUGGAUGAAUAUUAACUAUACUUACAGAGACAAAAAAAAAAAAAAAA